GGGUUGUGAGGUUAAGCGACUAAGCGUACACGGUGGAUGCCUAGGCAAUCAGAGGCGAUGAAGGACGUGCUAAUCUGCGAAAAGCGUCGGUAAGGUGAUAUGAACCGUUAUAACCGACGAUGUCCGAAUGGGGAAACCCAGUGCAAUUCGUUGCACUAUCGUUUGAUGAAUCCAUAGUCAAACGAGGCGAACCGGGGGAACUGAAACAUCUCAGUACCCCGAGGAAAAGAAAUCAACCGAGAUUCCCCUAGUAGCGGCGAGCGAACGGGGAGCAGCCCAGAGUCUUAAUCAGCAUCAGCAUCAGGAGAACGGUCUGGAAAGGCCGGCAAUAAAGGGUGAUAGCCCCGUAUCCGAAGGUGUUGGUGUUGUGAACUCGACGAGUAGGGCGGGACACGUGUUAUCCUGUCUGAAUAUGGGGGGACCAUCCUCCAAGGCUAAAUACUCCUGAUUGACCGAUAGUGAACCAGUACCGUGAGGGAAAGGCGAAAAGAACCCCGGCGAGGGGAGUGAAAUAGAACCUGAAACCGUGUACGUACAAGCAGUGGGAGCCUUGAUUUAUCAGGGUGACUGCGUACCUUUUGUAUAAUGGGUCAGCGACUUAUAUUCUGUAGCAAGGUUAACCGUAUAGGGGAGCCGUAGGGAAACCGAGUCUUAACUGGGCGAAUGAGUUGCAGGGUAUAGACCCGAAACCCGGUGAUCUAGCCAUGGGCAGGUUGAAGGUUGGGUAACACUAACUGGAGGACCGAACCGACUAAUGUUGAAAAAUUAGCGGAUGACUUGUGGCUGGGGGUGAAAGGCCAAUCAAACCGGGAGAUAGCUGGUUCUCCCCGAAAGCUAUUUAGGUAGCGCCUCGUGAACUCAUCUUCGGGGGUAGAGCACUGUUUCGGCUAGGGGGUCAUCCCGACUUACCAACCCGAUGCAAACUACGAAUACCGAAGAAUGUUAUCACGGGAGACACACGGCGGGUGCUAACGUUCGUCGUGAAGAGGGAAACAACCCAGACCGCCAGCUAAGGUCCCAAAGUCAUGGUUAAGUGGGAAACGAAGUGGGAAGGCUCAGACAGCCAGGAUGUUGGCUUAGAAGCAGCCAUCAUUUAAAGAAAGCGUAAUAGCUCACUGGUCGAGUCGGCCUGCGCGGAAGAUGUAACGGGGCUAAACCAUGCACCGAAGCUGCGGCAGCGACAUGUAAAUGUUGUUGGGUAGGGGAGCGUUCUGUAAGCCUGUGAAGGUGUGCUGCGAGGCAUGCUGGAGGUAUCAGAAGUGCGAAUGCUGACAUAAGUAACGAUAAUGCGGGUGAAAAACCCGCACGCCGGAAGACCAAGGGUUCCUGUCCAACGUUAAUCGGGGCAGGGUGAGUCGACCCCUAAGGCGAGGCAGAAAUGCGUAGUCGAUGGGAAACAGGUUAAUAUUCCUGUACUGGUGAUAAUUGCGAUGGGGGGACGGAGAAGGCUAGGCUGGCCGGGCGACGGUUGUCCCGGUUUAAGGAUGUAGGUGGGCGAAUUAGGCAAAUCCGGUUCGCUAUACACUGAGGUCUGAUGACGAGUCACUACGGUGGCGAAGUAGCUCAUGCCCCGCUUCCAGGAAAAGCCUCUAAGCUCUAGAUUAUCAUUAAUCGUACCCCAAACCGACACAGGUGGUCAGGUAGAGAAUACUCAGGCGCUUGAGAGAACUCGGGUGAAGGAACUAGGCAAAAUGGUGCCGUAACUUCGGGAGAAGGCACGCUGGCACUAGGUGAAGUCCCUUGCGGAUGGAGCUGAAGCCAGUCGCAGAUACCAGCUGGCUGCAACUGUUUAUUAAAAACACAGCACUGUGCAAACACGAAAGUGGACGUAUACGGUGUGACGCCUGCCCGGUGCUGGAAGGUUAAUUGAUGGGGUUAUCCGUAAGGAGAAGCUCUUGAUCGAAGCCCCAGUAAACGGCGGCCGUAACUAUAACGGUCCUAAGGUAGCGAAAUUCCUUGUCGGGUAAGUUCCGACCUGCACGAAUGGCGUAAUGAUGGCCAGGCUGUCUCCACCCGAGACUCAGUGAAAUUGAACUCGCUGUGAAGAUGCAGUGUACCCGCGGCAAGACGGAAAGACCCCGUGAACCUUUACUAUAGCUUGACACUGAACAUUGAGCCUUGAUGUGUAGGAUAGGUGGGAGGCUUUGAAGUGUGGACGCCAGUCUGCAUGGAGCCAACCUUGAAAUACCACCCUUUAAUGUUUGAUGUUCUAACGUUGCCCCAUAAUCUGGGGUGCGGACAGUGUCUGGUGGGUAGUUUGACUGGGGCGGUCUCCUCCCAAAGCGUAACGGAGGAGCACGAAGGUUGGCUAAGCAUGGUCGGACAUCAUGCGGUUAGUGCAAAGGCAUAAGCCAGCUUGACUGCGAGAGUGACGGCUCGAGCAGGUACGAAAGUAGGUCUUAGUGAUCCGGUGGUUCUGAAUGGAAGGGCCAUCGCUCAACGGAUAAAAGGUACUCCGGGGAUAACAGGCUGAUACCGCCCAAGAGUUCAUAUCGACGGCGGUGUUUGGCACCUCGAUGUCGGCUCAUCACAUCCUGGGGCUGAAGUAGGUCCCAAGGGUAUGGCUGUUCGCCAUUUAAAGUGGUACGCGAGCUGGGUUUAGAACGUCGUGAGACAGUUCGGUCCCUAUCUGCCGUGGGCGUUGGAAGAUUGAAAGGGGCUGCUCCUAGUACGAGAGGACCGGAGUGGACGCACCGCUGGUGUUCGGGUUGUCAUGCCAAUGGCACUGCCCGGUAGCUAAGUGCGGAAGAGAUAACCGCUGAAAGCAUCUAAGCGGGAAACUUGCCUUGAGAUGAGUCUUCCCUGACUCUUUAAGGGUCCUAAAGGAACGUUUAAGACGAAGACGUUGAUAGGCUGGGUGUGUAAGCGUAGCGAUACGUUGAGCUAACCAGUACUAAUGAACCGUGAGGCUUAACCUGACAACACCGAAGGUGUUUUAG
rnacentral:rRNA from 1 species